CCCCUCUCGAGAUCGCACCUGGAGAGUUUCCAGUCCUCUACCAGUCUCGGCUACGGGAGGGAGAGUCAAGCGGAGGCCUACCCAUUCCAUUCCUAGCCUGGGCAGUGGCUAGCGAGCGGCGGGCAAUCUGCUACAAGU